rnacentral:rRNA from 1 species
AGCGAACGCUGGCGGCAGGCCUAACACAUGCAAGUCGAACGAACUCUUCGGGGUUAGUGGCGGACGGGUGAGUAACACGUGGGAACGUGCCCUUUGGUACGGAAUAACUCAGGGAAACUUGAGCUAAUACCGUAUGUGCCCUUCGGGGGAAAGAUUUAUCGCCAUUGGAGCGGCCCGCGUCUGAUUAGCUAGUUGGUGAGGUAACGGCUCACCAAGGCGACGAUCAGUAGCUGGUCUGAGAGGAUGACCAGCCACAUUGGGACUGAGACACGGCCCAAACUCCGACGGGAGGCAGCAGUGGGGAAUCUUGCGCAAUGGGCGAAAGCCUGACGCAGCCAUGCCGCGCGGAUGAUGAAGGUCUUAGGAUUGUAAAAUCCUUUCACCGGUGAAGAUAAUGACUGUAGCCGGAGAAGAAGCCCCGGCUAACUUCGUGCCAGCCGCCGCCGUAAGAC